GGCGAAUUCCACGAAUGGACCUCCUGGGAGAUGGGGCCUUGCUCAAGUACGAACAAUAUUGAAAAUGAGUGGUUUCAGCAAGAAAGGAAGGAAAUCCCCUCAUGAACAAGGAAAAUGUGAUUGGUUUUGUAUGAUGAUAAUUUAAAAGAAAGGAAAAGCAAAAUUGAAUGACUACUGCAAUCAAAUGAAGACAACUCCAACAACAACUCAUUGUCAAUCGACGCAAACUAUUUAAUUCAAACAUCAAUGGUGCCACUUA